rnacentral:rRNA from 1 species
AUACGGAGGGUGGCGAGCGUUGUUCGGAAUUAUUGGGCGUAAAGCGCGUGUAGGCGGUUUGUUAAGUCUGAUGUGAAAGCCCCGGGCUCAACCUGGGAAGUGCACUGGAUACUGGCAGACUUGAAUACGGGAGAGGGCAGUGGAAUUCCUGGUGUAGGAGUGAAAUCCGUAGAUAUCAGGAGGAACACCGGUGGCGAAGGCGGCUGCCUGGACCGAUAUUGACGCUGAGACGCGAAAGCGUGGGUAGC